rnacentral:rRNA from 1 species
AUUGAACGCUGGCGGCAUGCUUUACACAUGCAAGUCGAACGGUAACAGGCCUUCGGGUGCUGACGAGUGGCGAACGGGUGAGUAAUGCAUCGGAACGUGCCCAGAGGUGGGGGAUAACGCAGCGAAAGCUGUGCUAAUACCGCAUGUGAUCUGAGGAUGAAAGCGGGGGACCAGGCAGCAAUGUUUGGCCUCGCGCCUUUGGAGCGGCCGAUGUCAGAUUAGGUAGUUGGUGGGGUAAAGGCCUACCAAGCCGACGAUCUGUAGCUGGUCUGAGAGGACGACCAGCCACACUGGGACUGAGACACGGCCCAGACUCCUACGGGAGGCAGCAGUGGGGAAUUUUGGACAAUGGGCGCAAGCCUGAUCCAGCAAUGCCGCGUGCGGGAAGAAGGCCUUCGGGUUGUAAACCGCUUUUGUACGGAACGAAAAGGCUCUGGCUAAUACCUGGGGCUGAUGACGGUACCGCAAGAAUAAGCACCGGCUAACUACGUG